rnacentral:sRNA from 1 species
AUCUGGCUGCGACAUCUGUCACCCCAUUGAUCGCCAGGGUUGAUUCGGCUGAUCUGGGUGGCUAGGCGGGUGUACUCUU